rnacentral:rRNA from 1 species
AGUUUGACUGGGGCGGUCUCCUCCCAAAGAGUAACGGAGGAGCACGAAGGUGGGCUAAUCACGGUUGGACAUCGUGAGGUUAGUGCAAUGGCAUAAGCCCGCUUAACUGCGAGAAUGACGGUUCGAGCAGGUGCGAAAGCAGGUCAUAGUGAUCCGGUGGUUCUGUAUGGAAGGGCCAUCGCUCAACGGAUAAAAGGUACUCCGGGGAUAACAGGCUGAUACCGCCCAAGAGUUCAUAUCGACGGCGGUGUUUGGCACCUCGAUGUCGGCUCAUCACAUCCUGGGGCUGAAGUCGGUCCCAAGGGUAUGGCUGUUCGCCAUUUAAAGUGGUACGCGAGCUGGGUUUAGAACGUCGUGAGACAGUUCGGUCCCUAUCUGCCGUGGGCGUUGGAAGAUUGAAGGGGGCUGCUCCUAGUACGAGAGGACCGGAGUGGACGAACCUCUGGUGUUCGGGUUGUGUCGCCAGACGCAUUGCCCGGUAGCUAAGUUCGGAAUUGAUAAGCGCUGAAAGCAUCUAAGCGCGAAGCGAGCCCUGAGAUGAGU